rnacentral:rRNA from 1 species
GUCGAGAAUAAUUCACAAUGGGGGAAACCCUGAUGGUGCAACGCCGCGUGGAGGAUGAAGGUCUUCGGAUUGUAAACUCCUGUCAUCUGGGAGUAAGACCUGACGGUGAAUAGCCGGCAGGGUUGAUAGUACCAGAAGAGGAAGGGACGGCUAACUUCGUGCCAGCAGCCGCGGUAAUACGAAGGUCCCAAGCGUUGUUCGGAAUCACUGGGCGUAAAGGGAGCGUAGGCGGCGUGGUAAGUCAGAUGUGAAAUCCCGGGGCUCAACCCCGGAACUGCAUCCGAUACUGCCAUGCUUGAGGGUUGGAGAGGUAGCUGGAAUUCUCGGUGUAGCAGUGAAAUGCGUGGAUAUCGAGAGGAACACUCGUGGCGAAGGCGAGCUACUGGACAACAUCUGACGCUGAGGCUCGAAGGCCAGGGGAGCAAAAGGGAUUAGAUACCCUGGUAGUCC